GUAUUCCACAGCUUGCCAGCCACAGCAAGUAGAGUACAAGGCUGGCUGAUGAGGAAGCAUCCCAACAUGAGCUCUGUGUUCUGGGAGGAUGCAGCAUGAGGAAAUGCUUCCCAGUUCCCCUGCUGAAUUAUAGAGCCCAGGUUAUUUGCCACCAGCGUUUAAAGAUUCCUCCUGCUGGUGUGACUGUGAACAAUGUUGAGGCAGUUUCGUGAGUGCCUUGAGCAUCCUUCAAUGCUGCUGCUUUCUCUAGAGUUUGAGGUGACAUAAAAGGCCCACACAAUGUGGUUUUUCUUUCUGAACAGCAUGCUGAAUAUACAGUUGAGCUGUGUACUGGGUUGCACGCUCUUUUGCAGUUGUUACCAUCUGGUCAUUUUAUAACUUUAUUAGACCGCAGAAGGCUGACAGAAGAUGAAGGGACUUAAACCAGGGCUGUUGUGAUUACAAUGGUCAGCAUUAUAAACAGCUGUGUCACCAGUAUGUCCUUACAUUCCCACCAUUUUUCUCACCUGCUUUCCUUUUGUCAUUCUUUCAGUUUACUUUUAAUUUUGAGUUUGACUAGUGCUUUUUGUAUUCUUCUGCAUUGUUUUAUGCAGUUUUACUUGUCUCUCUUUACUUAUUGACCACCCAGAAAGGAGAGGUUGUAACUGAGAUUUAGGUGUUACUGUGAUGAGAACCUGACCCUCCACAUUUAAAUAUAUGAAUUUAGGGGAUCAUGUGGGUGCUCUUUGUGUCUGUAUGUCAUAGUAAGGAGAAAGGCAUGAGUUUGAUAGGGUGGUGUAAGGAAAACAAAUAAAUAUGAUGCACUUUA